UCAGUGCAUUCUCCGUAUUGCCUCAAGGGGCGCUGUUGUGGACGUUAAAGUAAAUUGUCUUAUUCUACAGUUGUCUAUUAUAUAUACUACUGUCAUGGCCAAACAAAACUUUGAAGAGAAUCUUGCUGGACAAGUUAGUUAAGUGUUAACGAAUGAAGGCUGGAAGAAAGGCCCUGACAGAGGUUCAUUCACGAGAGGCAGGGCUAGUGUUCUUGAUGAAGCUCUGGGUGAAGAGGUAUUGAGCGUCGCCUGCAUUGUAAAACAGAGAGACAAAGCGGAGCCUGCUGUCCAGAGCUCAAACAAACAUAGAAGCCCCGGGCACAACAAGAAGACAGCCAUCCUGAAAGAAGGGCAUUGAAAGGGGGAUGCCCUCUCAUUGAGCCAUUAUUGGGAUGUACGGAUGAAGUGGGGCUGAUCUGAUGAGAAGAGUUUGUUCUCCUCUUUUCUUUUAACCCAAAGGUGAUGAACCUCUGACCACAGACACCAGGCCAGGUGCAAAUAUCUUCUUUUGUCCACUGUGUUGUUCUCUUUAUACCGAUGUCAGCAUUGUCAGUGUUGGAUGAUGUGCUUUCCCACACUUUGAGCUCAUUCGCCCUGAUCUUCUCCCUUCUAUAUCUCUGGUCUUGAUCCUGUCUUGUGUAUUGUAGUGAACCAAUAGCCUGGUACUGAAACCUUUUGUUCGGGUUCACUGUGAAUAGCACUCCUUUGUGUCCAAAAAGUUUAUAGAUUUUAAGGAUUUAGACUGGUUUUCACAAAAUAAUUUAAAAUGAUGUAAAUGAAAUUCCUCGUACAUGUAUAUGCGUUUAAAAUAUAUUGCUGUUAUAUAUAUAAACUGCAUAUAUAUGUAAUUGUUAUUCUAGUAUAUCAUAUAUAUUAAGACGUGCUUGAAUUAGACACUGCUAUCAUUAGAUCUCUUGGAUGCUGCCACUCCUGGCCUCUCCGUCUCACUCACAUUGCACAAUAUACAAACAUGCGCACAGGCAAACCUACACCUACACACCCAUAACCUAUAUUAUCUUUAAUUUUUCUAAUUGUACAGGAUAGGGACUUUAUUACAGCUGCCAGCGUGCUUGUGUGACUGCAGUAAAUGACGCGCCCAAACAGCUCUUGGUAGUAAUUACCUAAAUGGGCUCAUUCAAAAGCUCUUCAUUGUAGAAUCAGUUAAUUAAUUAGCUGUUUCACUGACAGGAUAAUGGUGAAAGCAUGCUAAAUAGAUUAGUCUGGAACUUGAUUUAUUGUUGAAAGCCACCCCCCUUUUUUUCUGUUUAUCUCUCUCACUCAAUCUCUCACUUUCUCUCGCUGACUCCCUCGUCUCGAACACCCACACUGGCAAAAAAGGCUCUACACGUGAAUGUCCAUUGCAUUUGAUAUUUGGUCAUUUACAGUGUGCUUCAGAUGAUCUCUUCCUAUAGCUUGAUCUGUCCACUUGGACACUUGAUGACUUCAGAACCACACGAAACGGCUUUGUCUGAGCCGUGGCAUAUAGUGGUCAGCACAUUCAUAUCGGCAAUGGGAGUUUAAAUCCAGCUUACAACAUUUUCCGAUCCCGUUCCACUUCUCUCAACUGUCCUUUAUAUAAAAAAAUAUAAAAACAAAUAGUUUUGAUAUUGUUCUUAGUACUAUCAUGCUGAGAUAUUUAAUACACUCAGCAAGUCUUGCAUACAGUUGACAUAUUUUUAACAUUUUAAUUGUGGUUUCUUCUCCGGUUCACAAUUUUUGAUUGUUUUAUUAUUUUUUGGAUCAUUUAAGACUGCUUCUGGCAUAAUAAUAUCAAUUUUAU